AAACAGAGUCAGAAGACCUUUCUGCAAUAAUCAUGACACUAGUGAAGACGAUGAGAAAUCAGGCGGUGAAUGUAUUAGUGAUCAUGAUGAUGAAGAUAUUGUACUGAGAGACUUAUGAAUGAUAGUCACAAGUGUGAAUUUUUGAUGCGGAAGAUUAUUCUGGAAAUAUUAGUAUAGUAGGUGCUCCUUUAAUUCAUAUUAAUUUAUUAAUUUAGCAAGGCCACUAGUAUACAUUCUAUAGUUACCUUAUCUCACUAAGUUUCAAGACAAGAAUAUCUUAGGUUUGUUUAAUUUCAUGUGAAAAGCUAAAUUCAUUAUUCAGGUUGUGAUGAACUGAAACUUUCUUGUUUAAAGCUCUUGUUAAGUUCACUUCAAAUAGCAUUGAAUUUUUUUGUGAACCUGCCUUCAUCAUGCUGGUUAAGGAAGUUAUGUUAUGGAACUAAGCUUUGUAGGACUAUGUGUGACAAGAUACCUUUGAAAGAUCUGCUUCACUACAUGGAACCAAGAGUUCAUUAAUGUUAGAGAUUUUGGGAAAUUAAUUUCUCAGUAAUGUGUCUUAAGUUACAAAACAUGAAGUGUCUUACUUAUGGAACAUUGGUAGACUAUGAUAAAGAAAACAAUUAUAAUCUUUU